CCUUGGCCCUGCUGCACAGCUCUACUCAAAAGCAGCGUGAAAGAGCAGUAUGGGGUGAACAUAGCCUCCUGGGCUGAGAACAACAGCUUUGCCACUUCCUGACUCUUGGGUCUUGUCUACUAGGCAAAUUUUGAGAACGAAAUUCCCACCAGUGCUUUGAGCGUGUCUGAAAUUAAGAAAACUCGAUUGGAUUUAACUUGGGGUCGGAAGAAACUCCUGCCUCCUGGAUCUGGUUUCGACUCCCCGACAGCUAAGAAUGUUGACUUUGAAAGCUCAGGGAAGAAGCAGCAGGGAGAAGAAAGUAACACAGUGUUCUCAGAAGUUGAAAUGGCUGGACAAAGUGAACUUAUUGACGGCUGCAGCUGGUGGCAUAUAGGUGUGCCUUUCCCUGCCAGACUUCUGGUAAUCAAUUCACGUGUACAAUCUCUGCUUCCAAUGCUUGUUUCCAUGACAUAUGUU
rnacentral:lncRNA from 1 species